GACAGAGGGUGCAAACGUUGUUCGGAAUUACUGGGCGUAAAGCGCGUGUAGGCGGUUAUGCAAGUCGGGUGUGAAAGCCCGGAGCUCAACUCCGGAAGUGCAUUCGAUACUGCGUAGCUAGAGUACUGGAGAGGAUGGUGGAACUCUCGGUGUAGAGGUGAAAUUCGUAGAUAUCGAGAAGAACACCGGUGGCGAAGGCGGCCAUCUGGACAGAUACUGACGCUGAGACGCGAAAGCGUGGGGAGCGAACAGG
rnacentral:rRNA from 1 species